CUGAGCUCUCAUCUGCUGAAGUUGAUGGCAGUGUAGUGGAUGCUGUACCACUUUAGAUUCUGCUUUGCUUCUUUCACAUGUGGAUCAUAUGUUAUGAAUUCAAGGGAGAAUAGUCAAAAGCUUAGUAUCUGCUUUGAUGCACAUCUGUAACAUAGAACAGUGACCUCCAUCUGGAUCCAACAGACAUCACAUAACCACAGCGGAUGUGUUAGGAGUCGGACCUUAUGGUUAUUUUCCUAUCUCACACGAGUAGCCUGCAUGGUUUUCAGCAUAUGCUGUGAAGAUACGAGAUGUGCAGCACCUGAAACUAUGGAUACUGGAAGCCUGUGCUAGCAUUUCUCCUGCGGUGUUGCUAUCAGUGUGUGAAGAGUGGGAGAAGAGGGUUGCA